UACGUAGGUGGCAAGCGUUGUCCGGAGUUAUUGGGCGUAAAGCGCGCGCAGGCGGUGCGGUAAGUCUCUGGUGAAAGCGCUCGGCUUAACUGGGCGAGGGCCGGGGAGACUGCCACGCUGGAGGGGAGCAGAGGCGAGUGGAAUUCCCGGUGCAGCGGUGAAAUGCGUAGAUAUCGGGAGGAACACCUGUGGCGAAAGCGGCUCACUGGACCACAACUGACGCUGAGGCGCGAAAGCUAGGGGAGCAAACAGG
rnacentral:rRNA from 1 species